AGUCGAACGGCAGCGCGGGGCAACCUGGCGGCGAGUGGCGAACGGGUGAGUAAUAUAUCGGAACGUACCCAAGAGUGGGGGAUAACGUAGCGAAAGUUACGCUAAUACCGCAUACGAUCUAAGGAUGAAAGUGGGGGAUUCGCAAGAACCUCAUGCUCCUGGAGCGGCCGAUAUCUGAUUAGCUAGUUGGUGAGGUAAAGGCUCACCAAGGCGACGAUCAGUAGCUGGUCUGAGAGGACGACCAGCCACACUGGAACUGAGACACGGUCCAGACUCCUACGGGAGGCAGCAGUGGGGAAUUUUGGACAAUGGGCGCAAGCCUGAUCCAGCAAUGCCGCGUGAGUGAAGAAGGCCUUCGGGUUGUAAAGCUCUUUUGUCAGGGAAGAAACGGUGGAGGCUAAUAUCCUUUGCUAAUGACGGUACCUGAAGAAUAAGCACCGGCUAACUACGUGCCAGCAGCCGCGGUAAUACGUAGGGUGCAAGCGUUAAUCGGAAUUACUGGGCGUAAAGCGUGCGCAGGCGGUUUUGUAAGUCUGUCGUGAAAUCCCCGGGCUCAACCUGGGAAUUGCGAUGGAGACUGCAAGGCUAGAAUCUGGCAGAGGGGGGUAGAAUUCCACGUGUAGCAGUGAAAUGCGUAGAGAUGUGGAGGAACACCGAUGGCGAAGGCAGCCCCCUGGGUCAAGAUUGACGCUCAUGCACGAAAGCGUGGGGAGCAAACAGGAUUAGAUACCCUGGUAGUCCACGCCCUAAACGAUGUCUACUAGUUGUCGGGUCUUAAUUGACUUGGUAACGCAGCUAACGCGUGAAGUAGACCGCCUGGGGAGUACGGUCGCAAGAUUAAAACUCAAAGGAAUUGAC
rnacentral:rRNA from 1 species